CAGCGCCACGAGUGGCAAUCGUGUAUUUGGCCUAAAGCGUCCGUAGCCGGAUUUGUAAAUCUUUUGUGAAAUCGUUGAGCUCAACUUAACGGCGUGCAGAAGACACUGCGAGUCUUGAGACCGGGAGGAGAUAGAGGUAUUCUAGGGGGAGCGGUAAAAUGCUAUAAUCCCUGGAGGACCACCAGUGGCGAAGGCGUCUAUCCAGAACGGAUCUGACGGUGAGGGACGAAAGCCAGGGGAGCGAUCCGGAUUAGAUACCCGAGUAGUCC
rnacentral:rRNA from 1 species